rnacentral:rRNA from 1 species
GGGUUGUGAGGUUAAGCGACUAAGCGUACACGGUGGAUGCCCUGGCAGUCAGAGGCGAUGAAGGACGUGCUAAUCUGCGAUAAGCGUCGGUGAGGUGAUAUGAACCGUUAUAACCGGCGAUUUCCGAAUGGGGAAACCCAGUGUGUUUCGACACACUAUCAUUAACUGAAUCCAUAGGUUAAUGAGGCGAACCGGGGGAACUGAAACAUCUAAGUACCCCGAGGAAAAGAAAUCAACCGAGAUUCCCCCAGUAGCGGCGAGCGAACGGGGAGGAGCCCAGAGCCUGAAUCAGUGUGUGUGUUAGUGGAAGCGUCUGGAAAGGCGCGCGAUACAGGGUGACAGCCCCGUACACAAAAAUGCACAUAUUGUGAGCUCGAUGAGUAGGGCGGGACACGUGGUAUCCUGUCUGAAUAUGGGGGGACCAUCCUCCAAGGCUAAAUACUCCUGACUGACCGAUAGUGAACCAGUACCGUGAGGGAAAGGCGAAAAGAACCCCGGCGAGGGGAGUGAAAAAGAACCUGAAACCGUGUACGUACAAGCAGUGGGAGCCUCUUAAUGGGGUGACUGCGUACCUUUUGUAUAAUGGGUCAGCGACUUAUAUUCUGUAGCAAGGUUAACCGAAUAGGGGAGCCGAAGGGAAACCGAGUCUUAACUGGGCGUUAAGUUGCAGGGUAUAGACCCGAAACCCGGUGAUCUAGCCAUGGGCAGGUUGAAGGUUGGGUAACACUAACUGGAGGACCGAACCGACUAAUGUUGAAAAAUUAGCGGAUGACUUGUGGCUGGGGGUGAAAGGCCAAUCAAACCGGGAGAUAGCUGGUUCUCCCCGAAAGCUAUUUAGGUAGCGCCUCGUG